CCACAAAUGAGUGAAAACGUGAUGUUUCUCUUUCUGCACCUGGCUUAUUUCACUUUACAUAAUGAUUGUGUCAUGUGGUUUGAGUUCCAACUGAGUGGCAGUACAAGAGAACACUAGGUAGACUUGUAAGGUUUUUAACUUCAGUCUCUAACACUGGGAUGGCACCUCUGGACCCACCUGGGACCAGAGGGACCUCACUGCCCUGAAGGAAAAAAUACAGUCCUGGCCUGGCUUGCUUUGCCACCUUCUGAUUAAGGAGACCCAAGGCCUGGAGCGAACAUAGGCAGUAGCCAAGGAGUGGUUACAUCAGGCCUUGGGCAAGACCUAGUGCUGUACUGGAUUCAGAUCUGACCCAGCAGUCAUAGUGGUGGUGGCCACAGGGGUGCUUAUGUUAUUCCACCCCUACUAUAGGUUGCUCAGAGUGCAGAAAAAGACUCUGCAUCGGAGAAAGUAAGGGAAGAGUGCAAGCAUAUGCCUGGUAAUCCAAAGAAUUUUUCUGAAUUUUGUCCAAGGUUAUCAAGGCAUUACCUCUAUAAGUCUGCAAGAACCACUGCGUUACUGGGCUGGGGUUACCCACAAAAGCAGAUACAGAUUAGAACAUAACAUGUAAAUACUUUCAAAUAUCUGAAAAUCCUUCCCAAGAAGGAAAAGUACAAACAAGCUUAUACAGUGAAGACUACAAUAAAUCCUUAGCUCUUCAAUAUCCAAAAACCAAAGAAAAUAUACUAGCAUCAACACUACUCAGGAAAACAUUACCUCACCAGUUGAACUAAUUAAGCCACCAGGGGCUAAUCCCAAUAAAGAGAUAUAUGAACUUUCAGACAGAUAAUUCAAAAUAACUGUGUUGAGGAAACUCAUAGAAAAAUUCAAGAUAACACAGAGUUGGAAUUCAGAUUUCUCUCAUAUAUAGUUAACAAAGAGAUUAAAAUAAUUUUAAAAAAUUAAGCAGAAAUUCUGGAGCUGAAAAAUUCAGUUGACAUACUGAAGACUGCAUAGAGUCUCUCAACAGCAUAAUUUACCAAACAGAAAAAAGAGUAAUGAACUUGAAGACAGACUUUUUGAAAAUACAGUUAAAGGAAACAAAAGAAAAAAGAAUAAAAUCAAUGAAGCACAUUUAUAGAAUCUAGAAAAUAUCCUCAAAGGGGCAAAUCUAAGAGUUAUUGACCUUAAAUAAGAAGUAGAGAAAAAGAGAGAUAGGGGUAGAAAGUUUAUUCAGAGAUAAUAAGAGAGAAAUCCCAAACCUAGAAAAAAGAUAUUACAGGAAGUUUAUAGAUCACUAAGCAGAUUUAACUGAAAGAAGACUACCUCAAGGCAUUUAAUAAUCCAACUCCCAAAGGUCUAGGAUAAAGAAAAAAUUCUAAAAGCGGCAAGAGAAAAGAAACAAUUAACAUACAGUGGAAUGUCCAAAUAUCUGGCAGUAGAUAUUUCAGUAGAAACCUUACAGGCUAGGAGAGAGGGCAUGAUAUAUUAGAAGUGCUAAAGAAAAACAAAAAAACAAAAAUAAAACUCUCACUCUAUAAUAGUAUCUCUGGUGAAAAUAUCCUUCAAACGUGAAGGAGAAAUAAAGACUUUUGAGCAGUGCAACUACGGUGGUGGCAGCGGUGGCAGCGGUUGCGAUUUGGAGCCAUUGAGACGCCUCUGUGGCAGCUCAUGGCACAAGUGGCUUGCGUGGAUGUGGGUAUAGGCGUCCAGUGAGUAACCACAACCUUGGAAUCCAUGGCCCCAGCAGGUGUGUCCAGAAGCCCCAAGGCAUCCUCCCCCACCCAUUGGCCCGGGAGCACAGCUUGAGUCCACCGCCCGCAUCCCCAUGCCGCCGCAUCUCCACACCAACUCCCGGGCUUUGGACCCCCAGCUGCUCGUCACAUGACUCGUGAUUUCAAAUCUGGAGACCUUAUCUUCGCCAAGAUGAAAAGUUAUUCCCAUUGACCAGCUUGAGUAGAUGAAGUUUAUGAUGGAGCUAUAAAGCUACCUACAAAAACUACCCAUUUUCUUUUUUGGAACCCAUGAGACUGCUUUUUUAGGACCAAAGGAUAUAUUUCCUUACUUCGAAAAUAAGGAAAAGUAUGACAAACCAAAUAAAAUAAAAUGUUUUAAUGAAGAUUUAUGGGCGAUAGAUAACAAUCCGAAAGUGAAAUUUUCAAGUCAACAGGCAGCAACUAAACAAUCAAAUGCAUCAUCUGAUGUUGAAGUUGAAGAAAAGGAAGCAAGUGUUUCAAAGGAAGAUACCAUGAAGUAAAGGUCAGCUAUGAGGAUGUGACUAAAACAGUUGACAUAACUACUCCAAAAACUGCCAAAGGAGAGAGAAAGACAGAAAAACAAGUAGAAACUGAGAAGGCAGGAGUAGUGACAACAGCAACAGCAUCUGUUAAUCUAAAAGUGAGUCCUAAAAGAGGACGACCUGCAGCUACAGCAGUCAAGAUUCCAAAACCAAGAGGCAGACCCAAAGUGGUUAAACAGUUCUGUCCUUCAGAGAGUGACAUCGUUAUUGAAGAGGACAAAAGAAAAAGGGUCAAGAGGAAAAACAACCUAAAAAGCAGCUUAAGAAGGAGGAAGAGGGCCAGAAGGAAGAAGAUAAGCCAAGAAAAGAGCCAGACAAAAAAGAGGGGAAGAAAGAAGUUGAAUUAAAAAGGAAAAAUUUAGCUAAAACAGGAGUUACAUCAACCUCUGAUUCUGAAGAAGAAGGAUGUGAUCUAGAAGGUGAAAAGAAGAGAAAAGAUGGGAGGAACUUUCAGACUAUUCACAGAAGGAAUGUGCUGAAAGGCCAACAUGAGACAGAAGCAGCAGAUCGAAAAUGCAAGCAAGAGGAACAAAUGGAAACUGAGCAGUGGAAUAAAGAUGAAGGAAAGAAGCCAGAAGUUAAGAAAGUGGAGAAGAAGUGAGAAACUUCAAUGGAUUCUUGACUUCAAAGGGUACAUGCUGAGAUUAAAAAUUCAGUCAAAAUUGAUAAUCUUGAUGAGUACAGAUGCAUUGAGACCUUCAAUUAACUUGCUUCACCUCAGGUCACAAUGCAACAAGCUCAGAAACACACAGAGAUGAUUACUACACUGAAAAAAAUACAGCGAUUCAAAGUUAUGUUAUCAUGGAAAAGUCUACAAUGUUGUAUAACAAGUUUAAGAAACAUGUUUUUGGUUGGUGAAGGCGAUUCUGUGAUCACACGAGUGCUGAAUAAAUCUCUUGCUGAGCAACAACAGCAUGAGGAAGUGAAUAAAACCAAAGAUCAAGGGAAGAAAGGGCCAAACAAAAAGCUAGAAAGGGAACAAACAGGGUCAAAGACUCUAAAUGGGGAAUCUGAUGCUCAAGACGGUAACCAGCCACAACAUAAUGGGGAGAGCAAUGAAGAGAGCUAAGAAAACCAUGAAGCCAGCAUGAAGAAAAAGCCAUCCAGUGAAGAGAGAGAGACUGAAAUAUCUCUGAAGGAUUCUACACUAGAUAACUAAGUUGACAUAUCUGGAAUACAGAUAACACUUGAGAAGUUUGUAAUAGUUUUCAUUUAAAAUAGACUGAUGGAAGUUUUAAAUUUUUAUAAGCAGAUUUUGAUGUUGAAAACUUGUUUUGAGGGAGAAAAUCGCUUUAUCUUUGUUUUAAAGUAAUUAAACAUUAUCUCUAAGUGUCCUUGUGCAGUAUUAACAGCUACAUUAUACAGUAAAUAUGAGGUAAAAUCCAUUUAAAAAAUGUUAAACUGCUUUUCCAGACAUGGUUGUAGCAUAUUUUCAAUUAGUGUGUGUAUUUUAUUGUGUAAUCAUUAGUAGAACAAAGUUACAUUUUUAAAACUGCUACUUGUAUAAACCUUUCCCCCUUUCCCAAAUACCAUGGGGUUUUCUGCAUAGUUUUUAGAAACCUUGGAUUUACCAGACUAUCUUUUCAGUGUUUGUGGGUUUUGUAGAAGUUGAGCAUUUUUAUGGUAGAUAAAAUAUUACUUCUAUAAAAGUACUCCCCUUUCAUCAAAAGUUAAUUUAAUUUCACAGUCUACAUUGUGCUACAUUAUCUGGCUGCUUUGGAACAAUGUGUGGCCUGUAUGUUUUUUUUUUGUUUGUUUUUUUCCUUUGAUAUGACAACUGGUUAACCGACAUUGAAUUGAUUGAGAAUUCUACAACUUAUAAAACUUAUGUUAAUAUGUGAAGGUAAUUUUGUUUUGUGGCUGGGCAUUCAGUGAAGUCUUAUGACUUCUCUGCAUAUAACAGACUGGGUAUAUAUAGGAAUGAAUCUGGCUUUAGGGUUAAAUCAUUUAAGGUCCUUUUACAGGCAGGCACUAGUAACUAAAACUGAAAACUAAACAAGUUUAUUUUUGAGAAUGUCUCAAGUUUCUAUGUUGUUAAAAAUGUCUUUAAGAAGUCACUAAAUCGUUCUUAAUUGGAAGAAAAAAAUCCAUGAUGCUUAUAUAAUAAAUACAAUAAAUGCUAUAUAAGGAAACUUACCUAUUUGAAAGCAUGGCUCUAUUGGAAGUUUUAUUUUCAUUUCUAGAUUCCAAUAAUACAAACAUUAGUUGUUUCAACAUAGUACUUUGAUAGUCUGUACAUUGACAUGUAUGGACUAAAUCAGGGUGAACAAAAUUUAAGAGUAUGUUAAGUAAAGGAUAGCAUUUUGAAAAUAUUUUGAAUAUUAGGUCAUUUGGCAUUUUUCAAUAAGUAGGCUACUUCUCAUGUUUUGAAACUAUAUGCAGAUGGAAUAAAUGGUUUAAGACCAGCAUCUGUUUAUGAUAUGUAUGCUUAACCCUCUGGGAUAACUGUUUUCAUCUACAGAAUUGAACUUUUGUUUUUAAGAGGUCUUACAGUGGAACUAGGAAUCACUGUUUUGAGAGAACCUGCAUAUAUACCAGUCAUUAUUUGUUUGGUCCUUAUACAGUUUUAACUUAGAUUUAUUCUAGUUAGGCCAUAAGUUUCGACAUUUAAACUUGUUUUGAUUAAAGAAUUUUUCUAUCAAA